AGUGAACGCUGGCGGUAGGCCUAACACAUGCAAGUCGAACGGCAGCACAGUAAGAGCUUGCUCUUACGGGUGGCGAGUGGCGGACGGGUGAGGAAUACAUCGGAAUCUACUUUUUCGUGGGGGAUAACGUAGGGAAACUUACGCUAAUACCGCAUACGACCUACGGGUGAAAUCAGGGGAUCUUCGGACCUUUCGCGAUUGAAUGAGCCGAUGUCGGAUUAGCUAGUUGGCGGGGUAAAGGCCCACCAAGGCGACGAUCCGUAGCUGGUCUGAGAGGAUGAUCAGCCACACUGGAACUGAGACACGGUCCAGACUCCUACGGGAGGCAGCAGUGGGGAAUAUUGGACAAUGGGCGCAAGCCUGAUCCAGCCAUACCGCGUGGGUGAAGAAGGCCUUCGGGUCGUAAAGCCCUUUUGUUGGGAAAGAAAAGCAGCAGGUUAAUACCCCGCUGUUCUGACGGUACCCAAAGAAUAAGCACCGGCUAACUUCGUG
rnacentral:rRNA from 1 species